AGAACCCAAACCUGCACCAAGGAGUUACCUGCCGGCGCCUCCCACACCCUUCAGCCCCUGCCUCUUCAGUGCCCUGCAGGACCCUGGCCCAAGCGCACCAGCCUUCUAUUUCCCUAACUGCCAGCUACCUGUCCAUCCAUCCACCCUCCUUGGGCCUCAGUUGGGGCUGGAACCUGACACAUUCAUCUGCAUAUCUGGCUCUUUCCUCAAUCUGGAAUGUUCUUUUGACCUUUCUGCACCUGGCUACUUGCCUCGUUCUUUCAGCCUUAUCUCAGACACCUCCAGGAAGCCUUCUCUGAUGCUUUCCUGGCUGGACGACAAGGGAGGAGCAAGCCGAGGAGGGCCUUGAGUGUUUGCACGGAGAUGAAGUUCCUGCCCACAGGUCACAGGGGGUGGCAAGACCUAUAGUUCUGAGACCCCUGAAGGUGCCAGGCAUGGGGCUUGGGAGCUGGGCAUAUGGUGAUUAAAAAAAGAAAAACAACCCAGAUUGUCCCAUCCUCUGGUCCAGCCUCAUUAUCUUAUGACCAACAAGGAACAAAGACAGAACCUGGUGCUUCAAUUUGCUGACGUGUUCCUUGUGUCCCUGUAGCCGGCACUGCAUGCCACCCAUGUCUCUCCUGCACAUGGACAGCUUCCUACACCCAGCACCCGUGCCUCUCCGCCUGCGGCUUUCCCUGGGCACAGGUGUGUGCUCAGCCCUCAGCAGUUAACACCCCCAGGAGCAGCCCUCGGUUAAGACAAAGCUGAUGUUAACAGAGGUAUACCUAGCUUCCUCACAGACACCUGAGUGAGUCCUACGCUGUCCCCCAGAGGUGACUGGGUGGGUGGGGUCCCAGUUGCCCACAGCUGACACCUGCUCAUUAUUGAACCUCAAUGCCUCCUCCACUUCCCUGUGCCAUUUCCCAGCUGGGGAAGUGAUGCUUCCUCAAUUGUACCCUCUCCUUCCCUGUCCCAUUUCCCAGCUGGAGAAGUGGUGCUUCCUCAAUUGCAUCCUCCAUUUCCCUGUCCCAUUUCCCAGCUGGGCAAGUGGUGCUUCCUCGAGUCACCUCUCAAAUAAACUUCCCAUCUUCAAAACCUUGACUCAGGCUUUGGGGGCACCUGACAACAAUCACAAAGUCACCUAAACUGGAUGCCUGUGGUCACAUAACCCAGACACUGCCUUCCGUGUCUGAUUUGUCUGAUCUAGUGACUAAGCCCCUUCAGCGUCUACAGUCCAUGUGCUCCUCUCUGCCUGAGCCCAGGCCUGCCUUAGUUCAGGCCUCAGCCUCUCCCCACUGGGCUCAUUAUCCCCAGGCUAAUCCCCAGGAAGAUGAUUGGGCCACUCUUCUGCACACAAAUCUGUGCUGUCUUGCCCUUGCCAGCAGGAUCCAGUCCAAAUUCUCAUCUGCCAUGCAGAGCCUCCUCCCACGGUCCCUGUGGCAUCUGGAGGCUCCCCCCAUCUCUCUUGGCUGCUGCCCUGGAAAAGGCACUCGUCCUCCAUUCCACAUACCCCCAUGGCCUUGCCUCUGUGCCCUGCUCGUGCUGUUCCUUGUGUCCAGAACACCCUGCCACUUUGUUGCCUGCCUAGGACAUCCUUUUCCGAGGAUCCCCUCAGCAGUUACAUCUUUUGGAGACCUUCCCUGCCCCCAUGAUGGCUAAUCACUGUUACCCUCUCAUCCGGGUCGCUCUUGCACCUGUGUCUGUCUCUCUUGUGCACUUUCACUCUUGUCUGGGGCGUUCUGUCUGCACACCUGCUGUGCCCACCCCUGGGAGCGCCCCCUGACCAGGGGCCAUUUAAGGGAUGCUGUGUUACUGUGGAAAGGGGUGGGCCUUGGAGUCGGAGCAACCUGGGCUUCACACCCAGCCCUGUCUCUGCUAAAAGACCCCAGACUAGUUACCUAUUCUGCCCGCCCCAUGCUUGUUCUUCCAUGAAACAGAAAUAAUAAAACCUACCUAUGAGGUUGUUUUGGGGAAUAAAAUCAAUGUGUGUUAAGUG
rnacentral:lncRNA from 10 species